GGAAAAGAGAGAAUGGUGUACCUGGAGUCAUGCUGGUUAGAAAUUUAUAAUUCAGAGCAGAAAGUGUGUUUUAUACUCUGUACCAAAGCCAAAACCUGUAGCAGCAUUAUGGGGUGAGAAGAAGAAUAGAAAUUAGUGCAGUGAGAAGAGAUUUUUCGUGAAAGGUGAGAAUGAUGGAAUACAGAAAUCAGAAUAAUUUGACUACUUAGAAGCUCUGAUAGGAAAAUAGUUUUAGAAAGUAAGAAGUUGGCUGAGAUCAGUCUUUUCGCCUAAAUGGCAAGUGAACAAAUCCGAGUAGGGAAGAACGUUUAUAUUUCAAACUUUUUGAUGGGAUUUACAAAUUAAAAAAGAGUAGGGAAAAUUUUGGUUUUAACCUAUGAAAAUAAUGGUUUCCAAUUGUGUUAACAAAAAAUGCAGGUCAUCAGUCAGCUUUUCUGAAACAUAUAUUUGCUAGUAUAAACAAAAUAAUAGGUGAAUAAAUCAGGAUAUAACUAAAGACACUAGAACGAAAACACUUCAGUAGCUACAUUGAUACACUACAA